rnacentral:tRNA from 1 species
GGGCGGUUAGCUCAGCGGUAGAGCGUACGCCUUACAAGCGUAGGGUCGGGGGUUCAAAUCCCUCACCGCCCACCA